rnacentral:misc_RNA from 1 species
CCGAGUUUACAACUCCCAAACCCCUGUGAACAUACCUAUUCGUUGCCUCGGCGGGAGGCCCCGGGGGGUAGUCGGCGUCCGCGCCGGCCGCCCUCCCGGACCCCAUGGCUGCCCGCCGGAGGACCAAUAAACUCUUGUUUUACCUGAAUCUUACUUCUGAGUAACUGGCGAAAGCCGAAAAUAAAUCA